CCAAUAGCGUAUAUUAAAGUUGUUGCAGUUAAAAAGCUCGUAGUUGAAUUUCGGGAUCAGUACGCUGGUCGUGCCUUCGGUAUGUACUGGUGUUACUGGUUCCUACCUUCUGACGAACCGUCAUGUCAUUAAUUUGGUGUGGCGGGAAAUCAGGACUGUUACUUUGAAAAAAUUAGAGUGUUUAAAGCAUGCUCGCACUUGAAUACAUUAUCAUGGAAUAAUGAAAUAGGACGUUCGAUCCUAUUUUGUUGGUUUCUAGGAUUGACGUAAUGAUUAAUAGGGAUAGUUGGGGGCAUUAGUAUUCAAUUGUCAGAGGUGAAAUUAUUGGAUUUAUUGAAGACUAACUACUGCGAAAGCAUUUGCCAAGGAUGUUUUCAUUAAUCAAGAACGAAAGUUAGGGGAUCGAAGACGAUCAGAUACCGUCGUAGUCUUAACCAUAAACUAUGCCGACUAGGGAUCGGAUGAUGUUAAUUUUUUAAUGACUCAUUCGGCGCCUUACG
rnacentral:rRNA from 1 species